rnacentral:rRNA from 1 species
CGGCCUGUGGCGAGUGGCGACGGGUGAGUAUACAUCGGACGUACCCAGAAGUGGGGAUAACGUAGCGAAAGUUACGCUAAUCCGCGUACGUUCUACGGAAGAAAGUGGGGGAUCGCAAGCCCUCAUGCUUUUGGAGCGGCCGAUGUCUGAUUAGCUAGUUGGUGAGGUAAAGGCUCACCAAGGCGACGAUCAGUAGCUGGUCUGAGAGGCCGCCGCCCCUGGUCUAAGACCGGUCCAGACUCCUACGGGAGGCAGCAGUGGGGAAUUUUGGACAAUGGGCGCAAGCCUGAUCCAGCAAUGCCGCGUGAGUGAAGAAGGCCUUCGGGUUGUAAAGCUCUUUUGUCAGGGAAGAAAUGGCGGGGCUAAUUCCUUUGCUAAUGGCGG